rnacentral:lncRNA from 1 species
AUGCCAACGCCCCGGCCCCUGCGGCACACCUGCGAGCCCCUCACCUGGACGCCGACCCCCGGCCCCCGCAGCGCACCUGCGAGCCCCUCAGCUGGACGACCCCCGUCCCCCGGCGGCGCACCUGCGAGCCCCACACCUGGACACCGCCGCCCCGCGCCCGGCGGCGCACCUGCGAGCCCCUCACCUGGACGCCGCCCCCCGCCCCCCGCGGCGCACCUGCGAGCCCCUCACCUGGACGCCGCCGUCCCGCCCCCAAGGCGGCCCAGUCGCUCAUGCCGGCAGCGGCGGCCAGGUCUCCGCUCCACCGCCGAGACGCGGACCCCGCCCAGGGCGCCCCGCAGCCCCUCCACGCUCGAGGCCCCGGUUCGCCCGUCACGUGGCGCGCGGCCCAGCACCCGCGCGGCGCGGACUCACCGUGCGCACGAGCCGCCGGUAGCGCCGCCGCAGCUCGGCCGCGCCCGCCGAGGGCCCCGCGCCCAGCGCGCCGUACGGGUCGGGACGCGGGGCGCGCGCCGCCAUCGCAGCGAAGGAGGCCCGGCGUCCGCGAGGCUCGAGUCUGUCGCAGCCCAAGGCCAGAGAGGUCAGCCGAGCACCGGCCCACCCUGCGCCCCGGCCGCCCGCCGCCCACUCGGGCCGGCGUCUCCUUCCGCCGGAAGCCGGGGCGCGGACGUGGCCCCGUUUCUAGCCGAGCCGCAGUGGCCGAGGCACCGAGCGGAAGCACCGCCCCGCGCCGGACGCGGUCGCUAUGGAAACCUGCGCCGCCCGCGAGGGCGCCGAGCAGUAAGUGGGGGCGCGGCGCGUUCGCGGGUCCCCGGUCCCCGGCCGCGCGUCCCCGCAGUGCCGCCUGUGCCGGCCGGGGGUCUCCUCCGUUCUCGCGUCUUUCCUAGAAAGGCUGUUCAGCCUAGCGACUUCUUUGGGACCGUAGCAGCCGGCUUGGACGUAAAGCCUUUUCCGGGCCUCCCUCGCUCGCUCCUGCUCCCCGAGCGGCGUGGGGGACGCUGCGCUCCGAGAGCUUAG